CCUUUGUUCUCGGGGGUGGCCGCCAUUCGAAAAACGAACACGUGGCGGCGGCCAUUUUAAAACUCCCGAACAGCGGUGUUUUGCCGUCGAGUGUCUGGAACUCAAAUCGGACACUCGACUAGGCGAACACCGCUGAAACCUCCACAAGCCCGGUCCGUUCGGUUCCCAACUACCGAACGGCCCCUCGUUCGGUAGAUAGAAAGAACCGAACGAGGGGAUUCAGGCGAACCCUCCCUAGCCUCUGUAGCUAGAGGCUUUCGUGCCGUUUAUUCCCUGACUCCAGGACCGACCGCAGGGCCCAUUCACAUGGAACCUCAUUCGGCUGUUCUAUCCAGUGCGGUCGGUCAUUUUAUUCCCUCCAUAAAUUUCCCGAACCCCUGGUCUGAUCUGGGUGAUUUUUGGAUAUGUUGUUCACCCAGAUCAGGGCUACCAGGGGAUGUAUGAUUUAAAGUGGUACCCCUAAGUUUAGGGGUACAUCCAGAAACGGGGGGAAUUGGUGUGCUGGAUAAGGGGAUUAUGAUGCAGGCUGAGGGG